AUACGGAGGAUCCGAGCGUUAUCCGGAUUUAUUGGGUUUAAAGGGUGCGCAGGCGGCCAUUUAAGUCAGCGGUUAAAUCGUGGGGCUCAACCCCAUUCUGCCGUUGAUACUGGGUGGCUUGAUUGCGGUCGAGGUUGGCGGAAUUCGUUGUGUAGCGGUGAAAUGCAUAGAUAUGACGAAGAACACCGAUUGCGUAGGCAGCCGACCAGAUCGCAAAUGACGCUCAUGCACGAAAGUGCGGGGAUCGAACAGGAUUAGAUACCCUGGUAGUCCGCACAGUAAACGAUGAAUACUUGUUUUCGGCGAUAUAAUGUCGGAGGCAAAGCGAAAGCGAUAAGUAUUCCACCUGGGGAGUACGCCGGCAACGGUGAAACUUAAAUGAAUUGGCGGGG
rnacentral:rRNA from 1 species